AAGCAACACGGAAGUAAUUAGGACCAGAGCACAGAGUCAAAACAAGAGAUAAACAAUUGCUCUCUUUCAUAUUUAUUGAUUUUCUUCUCAGUUUGACUGGGUAACAGGCGCUGUACAGCGGCCCGGGGGUCUCCAUAAUGGUAUGACUUCUGAUAAAAGCCGGUGCCUACGUGGCGCGGAAAAUCUCUUCUGUUGUCCGAGGGGAUGAGCAAAAAGACCAGCCUGUCCUCACGCCAUGUAGCCUGGCACAAGCUAAUAAGCGUCAGAGUCGGAAGCAGUUAACAGCAGAGGAGAAGUUACCUUCAGACCUGGAUGAUGACGCAGUGUGUGUGCCUUCCACAGACACUGCAGUGCAGAAACAUGGUUCCUGAGGUUAAAGGUCACGCUGGUGCAUUACUGGGUGCUAAACAGAAAACCUACACCCCUUGAUUUAACAAAAUUAGCUUUUUCCUCAAUUAACCUACAUUCAAGUUGCAUAGUUGUACUAAGGGCACUAACCAUUUAUUUCAGAAUAAUAGUACAUACUGAUAGUCAAAGGUUUUUGAAAACCUGACCUGAAUGAGACUUUAAAAUUAAUGCUUGGGUCUAAAGAUAAAACAGCACUGGUAUCAAUUAUGUGUUGUAUUCAACAAGUGCCUAAACAGAAUGAUCAAGAUCUGGGAAUUUCCCAAUUAUGUCUUGAUUGUUUCCAAUAAAAUACAUUCUACUUUUCACUUAUUAACUCCUUUAUUAAUAAGAUAAGAAAAAAAAACAUAUGAAAGUAAAUCAGACUUUUUAAUAUAGGGUGCUCAGAAAUAUUUGAUUGGCAAUAUACUGAUAUGAUAUUACUAGAGAACACAAUAACGGGAAAGUUUUUUUUUUUAUUAAUGCCCUUUAUCAACCCAGUUUGCCCUGCGUGACUGAUGGAUGUUAGUCAGUGCCUUCUCUCUCUCUCUCUCUCUCUCUCUCAGCUGUAAAGUGUGAAGAUCUGUUCAUCAACCUCUGACUCUGGGACUGUUCAGAUCUGAAGUUUUUCUACAGCUGUAAUAUUUAUACUGAAUGAUUUCUUAAAAAUAUAGCCUACUGAAUGUAUACACAUUAACAUUUUUACAGUCAAGCCUGUUAAAAAAGGAGUAGGGCUGAGAUUGUGAAUAACAUCACAUUUUCAUACAUUGGGUGAAAAAUAAAAUUGCUUUAAAUCA